rnacentral:lncRNA from 1 species
ACGUGCCUUCCUUUCUCUUGCUUUAGCUAAACUGAAUAACUUCUUAUCCCCGCCUCUCUCCCCUAGUUCCUCAUACAUGCGACCGAACGACGCAUUUUUAGCUUCCGUGACUGCCAUCUUUGCUUCUUUCCUCGCCUCAUUGUAGAUCACCAUGUUCGCUCUCCGUUCUUCUUCGCUUGUGCUCCCUGCCAACCUAGCGUACGCCGCCUUCUUCACCUCCACUUUUCCUUUGACU